CCCUUAGAUGUUCUGGGCGGCCCGCGCACUACACUGGCACUCUCAAUCAGAGCCUGGAUCUAACACUUUGGGGUAUUCUAUGAAGUGGUGUCGUGACUGGGAUUAACCCUUGCAAUUAUUGGUUACGAACGAGGAAUUCCUUGUAAUCGCGGUUUAUCAGCCCGCGUUGAAUGCGUCCCUGCCCUUUGUACACACCGCCCGUCGCUCCUACCGAUGGAUCGUCCGGUGAAGCUCAUGGAGGGGCGGUUGUCCCAGCUGCCGUCGAAGUGAAAUGGACCUCACGAUCUAGAGGAAGGAGAAGUCGUAACA
rnacentral:rRNA from 1 species